rnacentral:rRNA from 1 species
AGCGGCGGACGGGUGGGUAACGCGUGGGUAACCUGCCUCAUACAGGGGGAUAACAGUUGGAAACGGCUGCUAAUACCGCAUAAGCGCACAGUACCGCAUGGUACGGUGUGAAAAACUCCGGUGGUAUGAGAUGGACCCGCGUCUGAUUAGGUAGUUGGUGGGGUAACGGCCUACCAAGCCGACGAUCAGUAGCCGACCUGAGAGGGUGACCGGCCACAUUGGGACUGAGACACGGCCCAG